rnacentral:rRNA from 1 species
GAUGAACGCUGGCGGCGUGCUUAACACAUGCAAGUCGAACGGAAAGGCCCAAGCUUGCUUGGGUACUCGAGUGGCGAACGGGUGAGUAACACGUGGGUGAUCUGCCCUGCACUUCGGGAUAAGCCUGGGAAACUGGGUCUAAUACCGGAUAGGACGAUGGUUUGGAUGCCAUUGUGGAAAGUUUUUUCGGUGUGGGAUGAGCUCGCGGCCUAUCAGCUUGUUGGUGGGGUAAUGGCCUACCAAGGCGUCGACGGGUAGCCGGCCUGAGAGGGUGUACGGCCACAUUGGGGCAGAGAUACGGCCCAGACUCCUACGGGGGGCAGCAGUGGGGAAUAUUGCACAAUGGGCGCGAGCCUGAUGCAGCGACGCCGCGUGGGGGAUGACGGCCUUCGGGUUGUAAACUCCUUUCGCUAGGGACGAAGCGUUUUUGUGACGGUACCUGGAGAAGAAGCACCGGCUAACUACGUG